rnacentral:rRNA from 1 species
ACUCAAAUGAAUAGACGGGGGCCCGCACAAGCGGUGGAGCAUGUGGUUUAAUUCGAUGCAACGCGAAAAACCUUACCUACUCUUGACAUCCUCGGAAGGUCCUGUAAUGGGGACUGUGCCUUCGGGAACCGGGUGACAGGUGCUGCAUGGCUGUCGUCAGCUCGUGUCGUGAGAUGUUGGGUUAAGUCCCGUAACGAGCGCAACCCUUGUCCUUAGUUACCAUCAUUUAGUUGGGGACUCUAAGGAGACUGCCGGUGAUAAACCGGAGGAAGGUGGGGAUGACGUCAAGUCAUCAUGGCCUUUAUGAGUAGGGCUACACACGUGCUACAAUGGUCGGUACAAAGGGAAGCGAAGUCGCGAGAUGAAGCCAAACCCAGAAAGCCGAUCGUAGUCCGGAUUGCAGUCUGCAACUCGACUGCAUGAAGUUGGAAUCGCUAGUAAUCGCAAAUCAGCAUGUUGCGGUGAAUACGUUCCCGGGCCUUGUACACACCGCCCGU